rnacentral:rRNA from 1 species
AGUGAACGCUGGCGGUAGGCCUGACACAUGCAAGUCGAACGGCAGCACAGUAAGAGCUUGCUCUUACGGGUGGCGGGUGGCGGACGGGUGAGGAAUACAUCGGAAUCUACUUUUUCGUGGGGGAUAACGUAGGGAAACUUACGCUAAUACCGCAUACGACCUACGGGUGAAAGCAGGGGAUCUUCGGACCUUGCGCGAUUGAAUGAGCCGAUGUCGGAUUAGCUAGUUGGCGGGGUAAAGGCCCACCAAGGCGACGAUCCGUAGCUGGUCUGAGAGGAUGAUCAGCCACACUGGAACUGAGACACGGUCCAGACUCCUACGGGAGGCAGCAGUGGGGAAUAUUGGACAAUGGGCGCAAGCCUGAUCCAGCCAUACCGCGUGGGUGAAGAAGGCCUUCGGGUUGUAAAGCCCUUUUGUUGGGAAAGAAAAGCAGCAGGUUAAUACCCCGCUGUUCUGACGGUACCCAAAGAAUAAGCACCGGCUAACUUCGUG